rnacentral:rRNA from 1 species
CCUACGGGUGGCAGCAGUGGGGAAUAUUGGGCAAUGGGCGCAAGCCUGACCCAGCAACGCCGCGUGAAGGAAGAAGGCUUUCGGGUUGUAAACUUCUUUUGUCAGGGAAGAGUAGUAGACGGUACCUGACGAAUAAGCCAUGGCUAAUUACGUGCCAGCAGCCGCGGUAAUACGUAGGUGGCAAGCGUUGUCCGGAUUUACUGGGUGUAAAGGGCGUGUAGCCGGGUUGACAAGUCAGAUGUGAAAUCCUGCGGCUUAACCGCAGAACUGCAUUUGAAACUGGUGAUCUUGAGUACAGGAGAGGCAGGUGGAAUUCGUAGUGUAGCGGUGAAAUGCGUAGAUAUUAGGAGGAACACCAGUGGCGAAGGCGGUCUACUGGACAGCAACUGACGGUGAGGCGCGAAAGCGUGGGGAGCAAACAGGAUUAGAUACCCGAGUAGUC